rnacentral:rRNA from 1 species
GGGAAGACGCGGCGCAUGAUAGCCCCCUUCACCGGUGGCUGCGGCUGCGGCUGCGGCGCUUUCGGCGGCACAGCGGCCGGGUCGGGCUUGCCGGGAGUGGCCAUCGCAACGAGGUCACGGGAAUAUCGCGGUGUCCGGGGCGACGGCAAGGGUGUUGGCGGCGGUGAGACCGAGACGACUGCGUGAAGGCUUUUUACCCUUCUCUCAUUCGCAUGGCUUUAACGCUCGCCGCUCAUCUUCUCUCUCUUUUUUCUUUUUUCUUUUUGAGAAUUCGCUC